rnacentral:misc_RNA from 1 species
GAGGUCAAAGUUAAUGGAUUAGAAGCUAUUGACAGUGAAAUGUUUUCAAAAGUAGAUGUGGAGAUGAUAGCUGAAGGAAGCGCGUUGACCCCACCAAAGAAGAAUUUAGAAUUGAAAAUGUCAAAAAAGAUUGCAUUGGAUAAUGUGCCGAUGACAGUCAAGGAGCUUUUCGAGACUGGUUUGCUUGAGGGGGUUCCAGUUGUUUACAUGGGCGGCAAGAAGUUUCAGGCAUUUUGUCUCCGGGGUACAAUCAAAGAUGUNNNNNNNNNGUUCGUGCUCUUUCUGCAAGGGACGUAGAGUUAUUCCGCCUUCCCAAUUUGAGAUUCACGCCAUCAAUCAAUACAGACGCGCAGCACAGUACAUUUGUUUUGAGAAUGGGAAGAGCCUGCUUGAUGUACUGAAUGCAUGCCGAGCUUCUCCUUUGGAUUCUCUAGAAGCAACAAUCCAAAAUGCCAUUAGUGGUUUGCCAAAAGAGAAAACUUUCACUUGUAAGAGAUGCAAAGGUACAUACCCUACAAUUUGUGUUGGCAAGAUAGGGCCUUUAUGUGAUUCAUGUGUAGAGUCAAAGGAAUCUAAUGGUAGCCCAGCCUGUGAAACUGGUAUAAAGGCUAGCUUAGCCGAGCCAGUUUUAUCUGUGGAGUCCUCUGGAAGUGCUUCUGUGUCUACCCUCUCUCAAGAUAAUACUCUAAGGAAGAUAACUAGAAAGUCAUCAAAACCAGAUUUAAACUCAAAGUUGUCAAGGAGUGCUCCAGUGCGCGUGUCUUCAAGGAAAAAGAGAGAAUUGAAAAUCAUAACAAAGUCGUCAGAACCAGAAAUCAUCUUAAAAUCCUCUAAAAAUGCUUCUCUGCAUCUUUUCUCACGGAAAAGGAGGCAAAAGAAGAUAACACUGAGGACAUCAAAACCAGCAACAGUAACAAA